GACGAAGGGGGCUAGCGUUGUUCGGAAUUACUGGGCGUAAAGCGAGUGUAGGUGGUUGUCCAAGUUGGAUGUGAAAGCCUUGAGCUUAACUCAAGAAAUGCAUUCAGGACUGGGCGGCUAGAGGACCGGAGAGGAUAGUGGAAUUCCCAGUGUAGUGGUGAAAUACGUAGAGAUUGGGAAGAACACCAGUGGCGAAGGCGGCUAUCUGGACGGUUUCUGACGCUAAGACGCGAAAGCGUGGGGAGCAAACAGG
rnacentral:rRNA from 1 species